rnacentral:rRNA from 1 species
UACGUAGGUGGCAAGCGUUAUCCGGAAUUAUUGGGCGUAAAGAGCGCGCAGGUGGUUGAUUAAGUCUGAUGUGAAAGCCCACGGCUUAACCGUGGAGGGUCAUUGGAAACUGGUCGACUUGAGUGCAGAAGAGGGAAGUGGAAUUCCAUGUGUAACGGUGAAAUGCGUAGAGAUAUGGAGGAACACCAGUGGCGAAGGCGGCUUCCUGGUCUGUAACUGACACUGAGGCGCGAAAGCGUGGGGAGCAAACAGGAUUAGAUACCCU